rnacentral:lncRNA from 1 species
UUUCGGGCGGUGAUUGUGGCUAGUGGUUCGGCCUCGAUCCACUUGGUGAAGUAAUCUACCGCGACCAGCAGAUUCUUUGUCUGGCCUUUGCCUGGUGAGAAUGGGCCGAUGAUGUCCAUUCCCCACAUGGCGAACGGCCAGGGUGAUGUCAUGCUGUGCAGUUCUUCUGGUUUUCGGUGGUGGAGGGGGCCAAACUCUUGGCAUUUUUGGCAUUUCUUGACGUAGUCAGCGCUGUCUCCGUGGAUGGUCGGCC